CCGCCCCCACCCUCAGGCAGAAUGAGGCCCAUAAGCCUGCAAAUCGUCAUCGAUGGCCACUGACUGACUGCGAAUAUCUGAAGAUUCACAUCCGCUAAAAUGUCCUUGCCUGUUUACCGCGUCAAUCUUGCAUGCCGACGCUAGGUGGCAGCAAAGCGCCGAUUCACGAACCGCCCCUCACUGCGUCCUGGCUGACUUCUGACGCAGAACUUAAAAAAAGUGAUACUGCAGAUUUUCCUUUUAGAGAAAGAGCUACCCAUGCAAAACUAGCAGUUUUAAAGAGGACUAUGGCGAUAACUGGAACGUCAGGAUGAAAACUGCUUUCUGAAUACGGCCUUUGGGUGGAAGUACCAGCUUAAGACCCUUGUCUUAUGGAAAUGAGCUGUUUAUUCUUGGUGGAAGAUGUCCUUGAAGAGACCUGGAAUGGUAAGAUGAUUAGUGAUAAUGGGUCUUGGGUGAUGCAAAGAAGAUGGAAACUAGAGUAUCCGAAGAUCUGCCAAGUGAACUGUACAUAAGAGGAAAAAAUAGCUCUGGGAAACACAGUGUAAAUCAAUGAGAAAACUGGAUUCAAGGCACAAAGUGCAGUUUGUACAUAACCUCUCCAGGAUGUUGCAGUCAUUCCAACAAUAUUCACAUUAGCCCGAAGAACAUCUAUUGCAAAGGCUGUACACUGAGGACAGAGCCCAUGUCUUCGACAUUUUAGUAUAGUGCUUUGCACAUGGAAUGAAGAGGGAACUAAGACCUCUAUGUGGUCUGGAUAAGACUACCUCACCCUCCAGUAACCACACUGUCAAUGGGAAAAAGGGGACCCAGAACCCUGUGUGCUCCUGGUAAGACUCCACUCCUCCCCCCAAAUAUAAGCUUCACCACAAGUACCCAGCCAACUGGCCUGACUGCAUUUGGCCCCUGAUCCCAUUUGACAGGAGUUACCACAAGAAUUCAUGGCUUUCAGGCCCUUCCUCAGUCUUGGACUCUAAUCCCCUUAAGGAUCUCUGCAGGGUGUGGCAACCUCCUUCCCCGCCUUAUUGCUUUCCAGUAGCAUUUAGAGCAUCUGCCAUUUAUACAAUGCAUAUAUGCUAAUGUCAGCUCCACACAGGCAGGGUUUUUUUGUCUGUUUUAUUCACUCGUGUAUCCUCAUGGUACAGGACACUGACAAAACCGUGGUUAAUAAAUAUUUGUUGCACGGUCAAACACUGUUCAGUGGAAAGGACGAGGACUGAUCUGAGCAGGCACAAACAUGAGGUGUGGGCUACAGGAUGUCCAAGAGCUUCCACAAGCAGGCCAGGAGACCAAGCAUUUCCUUCUGCCUUGCCAACUCUUUCCUUGGAUCCCAAAGACCCUGUGGAGCUCUUAUCAAAAGAAUGGUUUAAACGACAAAUUCCAUGUGGCCCCUAGUGUUCCGUAGUACAUGGCAUUUGCCUACAGGCUUUUCAGCAGGGGGGUUUGCUACCUACAAUAGGGUUGGCGGAGGUGAUUGCACAAUCUAAUUUUGGGAGUGCCUUGGCAUGUUGCUCUUUUCUCCACUCAAAGAGGGCUUUGGAGUAUGGGUUUUUGUAUCAUCUUUUUCACAUUCUAAUAAUUUGUAGGAGUUCCCAGUGAUCACCUUAAUAGUGGCUUAGUUUAUAAAGCCUACAUAAUGUGCAUAUGGCUGCUGCCCUCCCACCCUUUGGCUGGGUAUUUGUGAUGGCACCUACCUCCAAGGCUGCAGGGAAAUUAUCAGCUAUGGGAGUAGAGAGUCUGUCCAAGAGAUUUUUAAACUGUCCCUUCCCUCUUAAGUUUAACUGCUUUUUGGACUGUGAGCACCUUGAAGGCAGGGCUGGGUCUUAUCCAUCUUUGUAGCCCCCCAAACAAAGUUCAGUUCCACCCCUCACCCCCACCCCAUUAGAGGUAUGAUUGGUCUACAUUGAAUGGUGAACUUGGCUGAUACUGGCCUGGUGAUAACAGUUUUAAUAGGGAAUGUCAAAUUUUGGCAGAAAGCUGUGCCUUACAGAGUCCUCUGCCUGUGAGCAACUUCCUUUUGCUCCUGGAUUGGUUCCAUCCCCUUUGUGUCUUGUCUAGUGCACUGCACUUGAGGGUCAUUAAGUCAGAGCAGUUGGGUAGAUCUCUACAGAAUGUUUUUUAUUUCAUGUUUACUGAGAGCAGGUAGGGAGAGUGCUGCUUAAAAGGGCAUGUCUAUUUUAUUUCAGCAUCUGCACAUACAAAUGGAGACUAGAUCACAGUUGAAUGGAGAUUCCCUCUUUGCCUUUUUCUCAUCUAAACAGGCUUUUUCAUCUACUUUCUCUUUUUUUUAAAUAAACAGACAGACCUGCAAGUGAAAAAGAUGAGUAGAGGUGAAAGAGUUGACUCCUUAUGUGCUCUGAGGGUAACAAGGAUACUAUCACCUUAUGAUGAUUUAAACACUUCUUCCCAGUUUGGGACAUGAUCUUUUCUCCCUCAUGCAACUUGACUAUUUCCCUGCUCAUUAGGGGUGGAUGAUCAAAAAAUUUUGGAGGCAAUGUAAAUUAUCACUAGGAGCAAAUUUCCUUAGCAUAAUGGGAGUCUCUCUGAAUUGUGUAGCAUUCAGAACAAGAGAGAUAUGUUCAUUUACGUAAUUAUUCUGUCGUCAACAUUUAAAAAUCACAGCUCAGGGUUUCCUGUCCCAGAAAUAUUACUGCCUAUUUCCUUGAAGCUCAUGUCAAGACAAGGUGUCAAGACAGAAAUUUUAACAUGUCAUGAAAGGGGUAAAUAAAAUUGCGUUAAGUUGUGAUUUGAAUAUGGAGAGUGACAGAAGAGUUCUUGAGAAACUCUGGGGAAAGCGUUAACAACAUGGUCCAUGAAGGAGAAGGCUCUGAGUGCCUCUAGUAGUGAUGCCAAAAGGCCAGGCUGGAGGUUGCCACACAAGAGCUAUGAGGCCCCCUUUCACCUGCCCUUUCUCCUUCUUUCACUCCAACUAUUGGAAGGCACAUCCUGGCUCCACUUGGGAUAUCUCCAGAAAGGAGAUGUGUGCCUAAGGAAUCAGGACAUCCUGGGCAUUCUUAGCAGACAGAAUGCUGAGUGGGAAUACCAAGAGACAAAGUUUGUCCAAAGGCUGGUUUUUCUCUUACCGCCUCAUUCCAAAACCAUUCCCUUUUGACCAGACCCUGAAAACCAGUGAAAUGCACAGCUUAUCUUUGUUGGAAAAGGGUUGAAGUUUUACCUGUGGGGCAACACUUGGAGAAAAAUGAUCUCUUUGACUAUUUCAAACUUGAUUUCUCCUAAGUAAGGGAGGUGAGUCCUUGUGAUGAAUCUUGAGGCUGGAGGGCUUUUCUUCUUGGCCCAGCCUGGACUCCUUCCAGCAUGUAACCAGGGUUGGUUCUGCUGAUUUGGAGAUCCACAUGCUCUCUACGUCUGGGUUACUCUCUCUUCUGCCCUUUGGAGGAUCCUCAAGUAGGAAGGAAUUGGAGUGGGAAACUACUGGGUGGGGUUUUGACAUAGCAACUAAAGGGAUGUGCCAAAGGAGAGCAGGUCAAGGAGGGCAUUGGUCAAGGAGGGAGGACCUAGUGGGUUAAGGGCCAGUGCCAAGGCCAAGGUCAGUUACUAUACCUGGUUGUGGGCUCCUCAUGGAUGUCCUCCUAUGAAAUGACAUUGUGAGAGUAAGCAAGUCAGUGUUAGGAUCCAAGGAAUUAUGCCUACUUUUCCUGUGUUCUAUUAAUUUGCUAGACCUUCAUCUUUACUUUUGACAUUUUUUUCUCUUUAGUUCCUGAAGAGACUUUAAAGCAAUUCAUUUCCAAAUUUCAUCUCUUGCCCAUCAACAUGAAGCCUGUUUGCUGGAUACAGAUAGUUUGUAGGACAUGCAUUUAUUGCUGACUUCCUUGUCCCUGCAAGGUCACAGGGAUGUCAUUGCCUGAGGAAAUUUGGGAAACACAGCUCUGGUUAGUUGUCUGCUCUUAUCUUUUUUCCCCUCCUAUCUGCUUGGGAGUGUUCAAAUCCUUAUCAGUGUAGAAUGCAGUUAUACUAAGAUUUAUCUAAGUUGCCUUUGUUUAGCAACCGGCUGUUUCACUGGGACUUUAAAUUUAGCUUCUUACUAAUGAAUAUGUAGCCAUUUGGGAGGAGAGGCUGGCUUUGCAGAUACUAAAGCAGCUUGUGUCUAUGCUUAACUCUCUCAUUGCAACACCUUCUACAACCACACUUCUUUUUCACUGGAAGUCUUUGAAGACUUCCCAUAUCCAGGGAACUAUUGAAUGCUACAGAGGGUUCAGAGAAGUAGAAGACACAAUUCCUGCCUUGAAUACAGUUUGGGAAACAAGCCAUUUUUGGAGCAUAAGAAAGUGUGGGCUUUGCUGUUUGAAAAACUUCAGCCUCAAUUUUAUAAUCUGUAAAGUGGAGAUAAUAAUCUUAACCCUGCAGGGUGGUUUUGAGAUACAGAAAUACUACAUGUAAAGAUUUGACCUCUAGGGAACAUUGUUAUUAUUAUUUUAAAUUGUGAUAUUACUACAGGGUCUGUGAAGUGCAGACUGACAGCACAAAUGAAAAUCAGAGGCAGAGAGGGGCUGAAGGCCAUCAGGAAAGAGUCCAUAGAUGAAGAGGAUUGUUGUUGUUGCUGUUUUUGUUGCUAAGAGGAAGAAGGCCAUGUGUGUCUUCACUUAUUUCUCUGUCUCAUUCAAGAGUGACUUGCCUCCUUUCUGAAAUCUUUGCUAUUGUUGCUAAUGGAGAGUCAGGAGCCUGCUGCCUCUGAGAAAUGGACCGUGGCCAAGAUUCUAAUGGGGCCCCCAUUGGGGCUCAGGAGAGUGAGUCCACUUGUUCUGUGCAAGAGCAGGAGGGGAGCCACUUAGGUCUUUGUGGGCAUCAGUGAGGAACAGAAGAGAGUCAGAGGAGGAGGCAAAAGGCUUCAGGGAAUUCUGGGCCACUGAAACAGCUGGACAGGGAAGGCAAGGAAGAGGGGAUGAGGGGAUGAGAAAAGAGAGAGUGUGAUCCUGAGAGAGACCUGGCCCUGGCCCAACCAGCUCCACCUUCUCAGUGUUUUUGAGCCAAGUGUCUUGCCUUUUCCUUCGUUUUGCACCCUCAGUCCAGGAAAAUUCUAUUAAGAAGGUCCUGAGGAUUGUUUGUGACAAGCACAAGGCUGCAUUCCUCACCUCUCACCAUUCUUUUUCUUUAUUUUCAUCCCUACAUUCUUUUUUUAAAUCUUUUCAUUUUUUUCAUUGUUAUUUCCCCAAUGCAAUUUUUUUUCCUACUGUACAUCAUGGAGAUCCAGUUCCAUAUACUUGUAUACAUUGUAUUUUCUCCCAUUAUCAUGCUUCACUGUAAGUGACUAGACAUAGUUACCAGUGCUACACAGCAGGAUCUCAUUGCUAAUCCAUUCCAAAGGCAAUAGUCUGCAUCUA